rnacentral:lncRNA from 1 species
GGAUGGGACUUACCCAACCCAAUUAAGAGAUAGGACGGGUAUGGGUUCUAAAAAAAUAUCCGAAGCAGAUUCGAAUCGGAUACGAGUAAUGAUAUGCCCGGCCCUGAACCUGCGUCGAUAAUAUCUCUCUCUCUUUUGUUUAAAUAAAACUUAAAACAUCUCUCUUUCAUUUAAAUAAAACUCAAACAUCCAACUUGGGUCCUCACUCCUCCCCCCCCCCAACCCUAACACCCAAGGGCCAAACCCUAGCAGCAUUAUGACGGCCCGGUAGGUCCCCACUCCCCCAUCUUUAGCGGUGGCUCGGCAGAUUCCCAUUCCCCCCAACUUAGCAACGGCCUAGUGAGGGCUUGGUGGUGGACGAGGAGGAUGCCGAUGGCAGAGAGGAACAGAUGAUGCCGAUGAGAGUUUGCUAGUGCCAGCGAGGGCUUGGUUGUGGACAAGGAAGGUGCCAAUAGUGAAGAGGAAGCAGGAUGGAAUUCGGGAUCAUUUGUUCGGGGGAGGGGGUAGCUAGGGUUCCAACAAAACCCUAGCCAUCAUCUAAGCUUCCCUAUUCAGUUGCUCCAAGCCUUCAGCCGUCCACCUGAUUAAGGUAAGAGUUUUUUCUACAUAGAUUGAUCAUAUUUUUUGUUUUUUGGCUUUACGCUUCUUUUUGAUCAGAGAUUUGAGGGGCUUGGGA